rnacentral:lncRNA from 1 species
AGCUCUUCUACCCAGCUACCAUCUCCUCUACAGCAAGAGGCCUCCUUCUUCCCUAGUCCACUUUGUAUGUGGCUGGAAUGUUAGAGAGCACGUAGUUUUCCAUGAGGGUUUGCAAUGACUGCUUGAGAAUUCAGAGCCAAAUAUCUGGCCCACAACUGGAAAGCGAAAAGGACAAUGCACCAGGAGAGCUCUGCCCUGCUGGGAACCAGGCCUUUCCCUCUGCGGGUGGCUGCUGGCCACCCCGGGCCCUUGGAGCUGCAAAGUGUAUAGAUCCUGUUCUGAGGUCAGGAAGCAGAACUGCAUGGGCCCCCAAGCCUCACAAGAUCCCUCUGUUCCACGAACACACACGUCCACUUGACAUCCCAGUCUGGAGUCUCUACAUCACAUCACAGGCUGGUCCGGAGAGGGGAGAGUGCCUGUGGGUUCACCUGAAUGAUCUGCAGUUUCUCAAGGCAUGAGGACUGAAACUGGGGCUGCUGAGGUUGCAUCCUCUCAGGCCUCCUGACCCCGAGACAUCCAGGAAUUCCUGCUUGGGGUUGAAGAGAUCCCCCUUCCACCUGACCCUACGGGAAAAAAUAAACUUUCCAAAGGCGGGUUUGCACCAACUACUCUGGGCAGAACUGUGUGGACAAUGUUCUCUGGUGUCCAGUACAUGCGGCCCCCCAGGGGCACAGACUCUCUGGCCCUUGGACAGGAUCCCUGGGGCGUGAGGAGUGAGACCGGGG